UGCGUGAAGUCAAGAUGGCGCCGGGCCGCGACAGCGUGAGGGGGGUGAGGUCGCGACUGAAGGGGCUGGGCGGUAUCCGGAGCUGGCGGCCUGAAGGCGGGAAGGCAAAGGACUUGUGGGCCCCUCAGGAGACCUGUCAGUGAGUGGGUCCUCUGGGGGUGCAAUAUGCCCAUGAAGAGACCUGAAGAUGAUAAAGUGUCCAGUUUCCCAGCCAUCCAUCCAGGGAGAGGAAAUCAACAUUGUCUAUAACAGAAUCCUUCAAGUAGGGCAGAAUUAUGCUCCCAUUUUACCACUUGAUUGUUAAAAUGUUUACUGGACACGAGAGGAUGAAGUCGAACACGGGCUAAGAUAGGUAAAGGGACUAGACACAGCCAAAUCUGUAUUCAUUAACAUUCAUUUAUUCAUUAAACAAAUAUUUAUGGUCAUCUUA